GGCUUACCAUGCAAGUCGAGGGGCAGCAUGGUCUUAGCUUGCUAAGGCCGAUGGCGACCGGCGCACGGGUGAGUAACACGUAUCCAACCUGCCGUCUACUCUUGGACAGCCUUCUGAAAGGAAGAUUAAUACAAGAUGGCAUCAUGAGUCCGCAUGUUCACAUGAUUAAAGGUAUUCCGGUAGACGAUGGGGAUGCGUUCCAUUAGAUAGUAGGCGGGGUAACGGCCCACCUAGUCUUCGAUGGAUAGGGGUUCUGAGAGGAAGGUCCCCCACAUUGGAACUGAGACACGGUCCAAACUCCUACGGGAGGCAGCAGUGAGGAAUAUUGGUCAAUGGGCGAGAGCCUGAACCAGCCAAGUAGCGUGAAGGAUGACUGCCCUAUGGGUUGUAAACUUCUUUUAUAAAGGAAUAAAGUCGGGUAUGNAUACCCGUUUGCAUGUNCUUUAUGAAUAAGGAUCGGCUAACUCCGUGCCAGCAGCCGCGGUAAUACGGAGGAUCCGAGCGUUAUCCGGAUUUAUUGGGUUUAAAGGGAGCGUAGAUGGAUGUUUAAGUCAGUUGUGAAAGUUUGCGGCUCAACCGUAAAAUUGCAGUUGAUACUGGAUAUCUUGAGUGCAGUUGAGGCAGGCGGAAUUCGUGGUGUAGCGGUGAAAUGCUUAGAUAUCACGAAGAACUCCGAUUGCGAAGGCAGCCUGCUAAGCUGCAACUGACAUUGAGGCUCGAAAGUGUGGGUAUCAAACAGGAUUAGAUACCCUGGUAGUCCACACGGUAAACGAUGAAUACUCGCUGUUUGCGAUAUACGGCAAGCGGCCAAGCGAAAGCGUUAAGUAUUCCACCUGGGGAGUACGCCGGCAACGGUGAAACUCAAAGGAAUUGACGGGGGCCCGCACAAGCGGAGGAACAUGUGGUUUAAUUCGAUGAUACGCGAGGAACCUUACCCGGGCUUAAAUUGCAGAUGAAUUACGGUGAAAGCCGUAAGCCGCAAGGCAUCUGUGAAGGUGCUGCAUGGUUGUCGUCAGCUCGUGCCGUGAGGUGUCGGCUUAAGUGCCAUAACGAGCGCAACCCUUGUUGUCAGUUACUAACAGGUUCCGCUGAGGACUCUGACAAGACUGCCAUCGUAAGAUGUGAGGAAGGUGGGGAUGACGUCAAAUCAGCACGGCCCUUACGUCCGGGGCUACACACGUGUUACAAUGGGGGGUACAGAGGGCCGCUACCACGCGAGUGGAUGCCAAUCCCAAAAACCUCUCUCAGUUCGGACUGGAGUCUGCAACCCGACUCCACGAAGCUGGAUUCGCUAGUAAUCGCGCAUCAGCCACGGCGCGGUGAAUACGUUCCCGGGCCUUGUACACACCGCCCGUCAAGCCAUGGGAGCCGGGGGUACCUGAAGUGCGUAACCGCGAGAGCGCCCNGG
rnacentral:rRNA from 1 species